rnacentral:rRNA from 1 species
GAUGAACGCUGGCGGCGUGCUUAACACAUGCAAGUCGAACGAAGCACCUUUGAUAGAGUUUUCGGACAAUUGACGGGGUUGCUUAGUGGCGGACGGGUGAGUAACGCGUGAGCAACCUGCCUUUCAGUGGGGAAUAACAGUUGGAAACGACUGCUAAUACCGCAUAAUGUAACGGAACCACAUGGUUCUGUUACCAAAGAUUUAUCGCUGAAAGAUGGGCUCGCGUCUGAUUAGCUAGUUGGUGAGGUAAUGGCCCACCAAGGCGACGAUCAGUAGCCGGACUGAGAGGUUGACCGGCCACAUUGGGACUGAGAUACGGCCCAGACUCCUACGGGUGGCAG